rnacentral:rRNA from 1 species
CCUACGGGUGGCAGCAGUGAGGAAUAUUGGUCAAUGGACGAGAGUCUGAACCAGCCAAGUAGCGUGAAGGAUGACUGCCCUAUGGGUUGUAAACUUCUUUUAUAUGGGAAUAAAAUGUUCCACGUGUGGGAUUUUGUAUGUACCAUAUGAAUAAGGAUCGGCUAACUCCGUGCCAGCAGCCGCGGUAAUACGGAGGAUCCGAGCGUUAUCCGGAUUUAUUGGGUUUAAAGGGUGCGUAGGUGGCUUGUUAAGUCAGUUGUGAAAGUUUGGGGCUCAACCGUAAAAUUGCAGUUGAAACUGGGAGUCUUGAGUACAGUAGAGGUAGGCGGAAUGCGUGGUGUAGCGGUGAAAUGCUUAGAUAUCACGAAGAACCCCGAUUGCGAAGGCAGUUCACUGGACUGCAACUGACGCUGAGGCUCGAAAGUGUGGGGAUCAAACAGGAUUAGAUACCCCAGUAGUC